rnacentral:rRNA from 1 species
CCUACGGGAGGCAGCAGUAAGGAAUAUUGGUCAAUGGAGGCAACUCUGAACCAGCCAUGCCGCGUGCAGGAUGAAGGCCCUAUGGGUCGUAAACUGCUUUUACACAAGGGAAAACCCGGUACGUGUACCGGGUUGAUAGUAUUGUGAGAAUAAGCAUCGGCUAACUUCGUGCCAGCAGCCGCGGUAAGACGAAGGAUGCAAGCGUUAUCCGGAUUCAUUGGGUUUAAAGGGUGCGUAGGCGGACUUGUAAGUCAGUGGUGAAAUCUCUUUGCUUAACAAAGAAACUGCCAUUGAUACUGCAGGUCUAGAGUAUAGAUGGCGUUGGCGGAAUAUGACAUGUAGUGGUGAAAUACUUAGAUAUGUCAUAGAACACCGAUUGCGAAGGCAGCUAACGAAACUAUAACUGACGCUGAGGCACGAAAGUGCGGGGAUCAAACAGGAUUAGAUACCCUGGUAGUCCGCGCCGUAAACGAUGAUUACUCGUUGUUGGCAAUAUGACCGUCAGCGACCAAGCGAAAGCGAUAAGUAAUCCACCUGGGGAGUACGCCGGCAACGGUGAAACGUCAAAGAGAGUAGAGNGNGAGAGACGACGACGACGACGACGGAGGGAGGAGG